GGGUGAGUAAUGUAUCGGAACGUACCUUUCAGUGGGGGAUAACGUAGCGAAAGUUACGCUAAUACCGCAUAUUCUGUGAGCAGGAAAGCAGGGGAUCGCAAGACCUUGCGCUGAUUGAGCGGCCGAUAUCAGAUUAGCUAGUUGGUGAGGUAAAGGCUCACCAAGGCGACGAUCUGUAGCGGGUCUGAGAGGAUGAUCCGCCACACUGGAACUGAGACACGGUCCAGACUCCUACGGGAGGCAGCAGUGGGGAAUUUUGGACAAUGGGCGCAGGCCUGAUCCAGCCAUGCCGCGUGAGUGAAGAAGGCCUUCGGGUUGUAAAGCUCUUUCAGCCGGGAAGAAAACGCAUGGGUUAAUACCCUGUGUGGAUGACGGUACCGGAAUAAGAAGCACCGGCUAACUACGUGCCAGCAGCCGCGGUAAUACGUAGGGUGCGAGCGUUAAUCGGAAUUACUGGGCGUAAAGCGUGCGCAGGCGGUUUGUUAAGAUAGGCGUGAAAUCCCCGGGCUCAACCUGGGAACUGCGUUUAUGACUGGCAAGCUAGAGUAUGGCAGAGGGGGGUGGAAUUCCACGUGUAGCAGUGAAAUGCGUAGAGAUGUGGAGGAACACCGAUGGCGAGGGCAGCCCCCUGGGCCAAUACUGACGCUCAUGCACGAAAGCGUGGGUAGCAAACAGGAUUAGAUACCCUGGUAGUCCACGCCCUAAACGAUGUCAACUAGGUGUUGGGAGGGUAAAACCUUUAGUACCGGAGCUAACGCGUGAAGUUGACCGCCUGGGGAGUACGGCCGCAAGGUUAAAACUCAAAGGAAUUGACGGGGACCCGCACAAGCGGUGGAUGAUGCGGAUUAAUUCGAUGCAACGCGAAAAACCUUACCUACCCUUGACAUGUCCGGAAGCCCUUAGAGAUUUGGGUGUGCUCGAAAGAGAGCCGGAACACAGGUGCUGCAUGGCUGUCGUCAGCUCGUGUCGUGAGAUGUUGGGUUAAGUCCCGCAACGAGCGCAACCCUUGUCGUUAAUUGCCAUCAUUUAGUUGGGCACUUUAACGAGACUGCCGGUGACAAACCGGAGGAAGGUGGGGAUGACGUCAAGUCCUCAUGGCCCUUAUGGGUAGGGCUUCACACGUCAUACAAUGGUCGGUACAAAGGGUCGCCAACCCGCGAGGGGGAGCCAAUCCCAGAAAGCCGAUCGUAGUCCGGAUCGUAGGCUGCAACUCGCCUGCGUGAAGUCGGAAUCGCUAGUAAUCGUGGAUCAGCAUGUCACGAUGAAUACGUUCCCGGGUCUUGUACACACCGCCCGUCACACCAUGGGAGCGGGUUCCGCCAGAAGUAGGUAGCCUAACCGCAAGGAGGGCGCUUACCACGGCGGGGUUCGUGACUGGGGUGAAGUCGAACAAGGUA
rnacentral:rRNA from 1 species